rnacentral:hammerhead_ribozyme from 1 species
AUUCAGCUGACUCGUCCCUAACAGAACGAAACGUGCGUCCUGGAU